GUGUCAGCCGCCGCGGUAAUACGUAGGGGGCAAGCGUUGUCCGGAUUUACUGGGCGUAAAGCGCGUGUAGGCGGCUACGCAGGUCCGUUGUGAAAACUGAAGGCUUAACCUUCAGACGUCGACGGAAACCGCGUGGCUAGAGUCCGGAAGAGGAGAGUGGAAUUCCUGGUGUAGCGGUGAAAUGCGCAGAUAUCAGGAAGAACACCAAUGGCGAAGGCAGCUCUCUGGGACGGUACUGACGCUGAGACGCGAAAGCGUGGGGAGCAAACAGGAUUAGAUACCCCAGUAGUCC
rnacentral:rRNA from 1 species